GACGAACGCUGGCGGCGUGCUUAACACAUGCAAGUCGAACGGAAAGGCCCUGCUUUUGUGGGGUGCUCGAGUGGCGAACGGGUGGGUAACACGUGAGUAACCUGCCCUUGACUUUGGGAUAACUUCAGGAAACUGGGGCUAAUACCGGAUAGGAUCUCCUGCUGCAUGGUGUGGGUUGGAAAGUUUCGGCGGUUGGGGAUGGACUCGCGGCUUAUCAGCUUGUUGGUGGGGUAGUGGCUUACCAAGGCUUUGACGGGUAGCCGGCCUGAGAGGGUGACCGGCCACAUUGGGACUGAGAUACGGACCAGACUCCUACGGGAGGCAGCAGUGGGGAAUAUUGCACAAUGGGCGGAAGCCUGAUGCAGCAACGCCGCGUGCGGGAUGACGGCCUUCGGGUUGUAAACCGCUUUCGCCUGUGACGAAGCGUGAGUGACGGUAAUGGGUAAAGAAGCACCGGCUAACUACGUG
rnacentral:rRNA from 1 species